GUGAGGGAUGACGGCCUUCGGGUUGUAAACCUCUUUUAGCAGGGAAGAAGCGAGAGUGACGGUACCUGCAGAAAAAGCGCCGGCUAACUACGUGCCAGCAGCCGCGGUAAUACGUAGGGCGCAAGCGUUAUCCGGAAUUAUUGGGCGUAAAGAGCUCGUAGGCGGUUUGUCGCGUCUGCUGUGAAAUCCCGAGGCUCAACCUCGGGCUUGCAGUGGGUACGGGCAGACUAGAGUGCGGUAGGGGAGAUUGGAAUUCCUGGUGUAGCGGUGGAAUGCGCAGAUAUCAGGAGGAACACCGAUGGCGAAGGCAGAUCUCUGGGCCGUAACUGACGCUGAGGAGCGAAAGGGUGGGGAGCAAACAGGCUUAGAUACCCUGGUAGUCCACCCCGUAAACGUUGGGAACUAGUUGUGGGGUCCUUUCCACGGAUUCCGUGACGCAGCUAACGCAUUAAGUUCCCCGCCUGGGGAGUACGGCCGCAAGGCUAAAACUCAAAGGAAUUGACGGGGACCCGCACAAGCGGCGGAGCAUGCGGAUUAAUUCGAUGCAACGCGAAGAACCUUACCAAGGCUUGACAUACACGAGAACGGGCCAGAAAUGGUCAACUCUUUGGACACUCGUGAACAGGUGGUGCAUGGUUGUCGUCAGCUCGUGUCGUGAGAUGUUGGGUUAAGUCCCGCAACGAGCGCAACCCUCGUUCUAUGUUGCCAGCACGUAAUGGUGGGAACUCAUGGGAUACUGCCGGGGUCAACUCGGAGGAAGGUGGGG
rnacentral:rRNA from 1 species